UACGUAGGGACGAGCGUUGUCCGGAAUUACUGGGCGUAAAGGGCGCGCAGGGUGUAGAUCAAGUCAGCUGUGAAAUGUCUGGGCUUAACCCGGGCAUGCGGUUGAAACUGAUGUACUGGAGUGCUGUAGAGGCAAGUGGAAUUCCCAGUGUAGCGGUGAAAUGCGUAGAUAUUGGGAAGAACACCGGUGGCGAAGGCGACUUGCUGGGCAGCAACUGACGCUGAGGCGCGAAAGCCAGGGGAGCAAACGGGGAUUAGAUACCCGGGUA
rnacentral:rRNA from 1 species